ACUCAAAUGAAUAGACGGGGGCCCGCACAAGCAGCGGAGCGUGUGGUUUAAUUCGACGCAACGCGCACAACCUUACCCAGACUUGACAUGCUACUGCAGAGUGGGGAAACCCACUGGCCUUCGAGGGUGUAGCACAGAUGCUGCAUGGCUGUCGUCAGCUCGUGUCGUGAGAUGUUGGGUUAAGUCCCGCAACGAGCGCAACCCCCGCGGCCAGUUACAUGUGUCUGGCCGGACCGCCCUUCGGGGAGGAAGGCGGGGAUGACGUCAAGUCCGCAUGGCUCUUACGUCUGGGGCGACACACACGCUACAAUGGCGCCGACAGUGCGCAGCGACCCGGCAACGGGGAGCGAAUCGCCAAACGGCGCCCCAGUGCAGAUCGGGGGCUGCAACUCGCCCCCGUGAAGGCGGAGUUGCUAGUAACCGCGUAUCAGCCUUGGCGCGGUGAAUACGUACCCGGGCCUUGUACACACCGCCCGU
rnacentral:rRNA from 1 species